UACGAAGGGGGCUAGCGUUGCUCGGAAUUACUGGGCGUAAAGCGCACGUAGGCGGUUUUGUAAGUUAGAGGUGAAAGCCUGGGGCUCAACUCCAGAAUAGCCUUUAAGACUGCAUCACUUGAACACGGGAGAGGUGAGUGGAAUUCCGAGUGUAGAGGUGAAAUUCGUAGAUAUUCGGAAGAACACCAGUGGCGAAGGCGGCUCACUGGACCGUUGUUGACGCUGAGGUGCGAAAGCGUGGGGAGCAAACAGG
rnacentral:rRNA from 1 species